UACGGAGGGUGCGAGCGUUAUCCGGAUUCACUGGGUUUAAAGGGCGCGUAGGCGGCCUCUGCAAGUCGACUGUGAAAUCUCCGGGCUUAACCCGGAAAGGUCAGCCGAUACUGCAGGGCUAGAGUGCAGAAGGGGCAACUGGAAUUCUCGGUGUAGCGGUGAAAUGCGUAGAUAUCGAGAGGAACACCUGCGGCGAAGGCGGGUUGCUGGGCUGACACUGACGCUGACAGCGCGAAAGCUAGGGGAGCAAACGGG
rnacentral:rRNA from 1 species